AGAUAGAAUAGUAACCAUAAAAGAUACAACUUAUAACAUCAUGGGAAUAAAUAUUGUAUGAAGUGUACCUAUUUUAUGUUUCUUUAAUUAAUUAUUCGAUCAACUAUUAUCGUUAUAUGAACUAUUAUUACCAUGAGAUAGUAUUAUCAAUUCAAUCACUAACAACGAGAAUUACACAAAAUUUGUCUCUGUAAACAUGAAUAUUAUGGAUGAAUAUUAUGGAUAUCUAUUAUUGAUAUUAUUGAUAAAUAAAAAAGAAAUAUGACAUUGAACGCGUGUAUUAAAGCUGUAAAUUAAGGCAAUUAUUUGUACGGACAGACACGAUUUUCACUUCCUGGUGUCUAGACAUAUUCAUUCCACGUAGAUAAACGUAAAAUACAUGUGAUCAAAUUGGACGAGUAAUAAUGUUAUAUCUU
rnacentral:misc_RNA from 1 species